CUAAGAAUGUAUUCAUAAUUUUUAUUGUAGUUUUAGCCGAACGCAUAAUCUUUAAUACUGUUUUUAAAGAAAUAAUAAGUACUAACCAUAUUAUCUAUAUACUUUAAGGAUCGAAAGGAGAUAAAGGAAACAAAGGAUAUCCCGGGAAAUAUGAUGUACGUGUCCAUUUGUAUGGGAAGAAUGGAAAGAUAAGAAAAAUAGACCAAGCUAGAAAAUAUAAAAUAAAGAGUGCUGUAAAAGCUUUUAUUUAUAACAAAAAUAAACAUCCAGGGACAAAACAAACGCCAAGGUACUACAGAUAUGCCUAUUGGAAUAAGGAAAGACAACAACCUUAAAAAGUGACUCGUUAAUGGAAGUUAACUAUCCGUAUUUGCCUGUUACUCAUCGUUAUGAAGAGAAGAUGAAGGGAUUUGUUAACUUAUCAUAUUGAGUAAACUAUUUAAUUGUUAAAAAUCACAAUAAUAAA